rnacentral:rRNA from 1 species
GACGAACGCUGGCGGCGUGCUUAACACAUGCAAGUCGAACGGAAAGGCCCCUUUGGGGGUACUCGAGUGGCGAACGGGUGAGUAACACGUGAGUAACCUGCCCUUGACUUCGGUAUAACUUCAGGAAACUGGGGCUAAUACCGGAUAGGAAUCCUUGCUGCAUGGUGGGGGUUGGAAAGCUUCGGCGGUUUUGGAUGGACUCGCGGCUUAUCAGCUUGUUGGUGGGGUAGUGGCUUACCAAGGCUUUGACGGGUAGCCGGCCUGAGAGGGCGACCGGCCACAUUGGGACUGAGAUACGGCCCAGACUCCUACGGGAGGCAGCAGUGGGGAAUAUUGCACAAUGGGCGGAAGCCUGAUGCAGCAACGCCGCGUGCGGGAUGACGGCCUUCGGGUUGUAAACCGCUUUCAGCAGGGGCGAAGCUUGUGGUGACGGUACCUGCAGAAGAAGCACCGGCUAACUACGUG